rnacentral:rRNA from 1 species
GACGAACGCUGGCGGCGUGCUUAACACAUGCAAGUCGAACGGAAAGGCCCUGCUUGCCGGGUGCUCGAGUGGCGAACGGGUGAGUAACACGUGGGUGAUCUGCCCCUUACUUUUGGAUAAGCCUGGGAAACUGGGUCUAAUACUGGAUAGGACCAUGCUGUAGGUGGUGUGGUGGAAAGAUUAGUUUCGGUAAGGGAUGAGCUCGCGGCCUAUCAGCUUGUUGGUGGGGUAAUGGCCUACCAAGGCGUCGACGGGUAGCCGGCCUGAGAGGGUGGACGGCCACAUUGGGACUGAGAUACGGCCCAGACUCCUACGGGAGGCAGCAGUGGGGAAUAUUGCACAAUGGGCGCAAGCCUGAUGCAGCGACGCCGCGUGGGGGAUGACGGCCUUCGGGUUGUAAACUCCUUUCAGCCAUGACGAAGCCCUUGUGGUGACGGUAGUGGUAGAAGAAGCACCGGCUAACUACGUG